rnacentral:rRNA from 1 species
ACAGCAGUAGCCGCGGUAAUACGAAGGGGGCUAGCGUUGUUCGGAUUUACUGGGCGUAAAGGGCGCGUAGGCGGACUGAUAAGUCAGGGGUGAAAUCCCAAGGCUCAACCUUGGAACUGCCUUUGAUACUGUUUGUCUUGAGUUCGAGAGAGGUAAGUGGAACUGCGAGUGUAGAGGUGAAAUUCGUAGAUAUUCGCAAGAACACCAGUGGCGAAGGCGGCUUACUGGCUCGAAACUGACGCUGAGGCGCGAAAGCGUGGGGAGCAAACAGGAUUAGAUACCCCUGUAGUCCCUGUCUCUUAUAC